UCCAUCCCCCAUUUUGUUUAAUUUCCUUCCACCCUCUGUUUCCCUCUCCUCCGAUUUCAUUUUUUCCCCAAGAAAGUUCGAUAGAUUUUAGAGUUAAUUUGGUUUUAGUUUGAUAGAGUGGCCAGCCGCAGCAUGCCGAGCAUCUUACUCGCACCAAACCCUGCCUCUGCCUGCAGCUAUUUUCCCACCUCUCUUUCUGGCAGGAAAUGGCUCUUAGCAUUUGCUAAAAUCUAUUCCCUCCGAGCAUUCAUCUCUCCGCUCAAACCACCAUUACCCAAGAACCGCACCAAUUUCUCCCGCUUUCCCUCUUAUUCCCUCGUAGACAUUACGCUAGCCUCCGGCGUCUUCUCCAAAAACGUGGACCAAACAGCCUCACCCAAUUUUUCAAGCAGAAAAAUCUUGACCAUCUUCUUCGCUCAGGGGGAGUAAAAAACAUAGCUUCUGCUCUCAAAUCCGACGCGGAGAACGGAAUAGACGGCGAUGCCGAAGAGAUUGCCCGCCGUCGUAAAGCGUUUGGGUCCAACACGUACAGUAAGCCCCCGGCCAAGGGGUUCUUCCAUUUCGUGGUCGAGCCAUUUCGAGAUGUCACCAUUUUGAUUCUAUUGGGGUGUUUCUGAGAAUAAAUCCACUGAAGGGGAUCUUAAGGUUUGGGAAGAAAGGAAAUACGUCUCAGAUCCUUCCCAUAUCAUUAGUCAUGUGGAGCUGGAAGUCAAUGAGGCUUUAACAUAUGAAGAAGCUCCAGUAUAGAUCCUAGAUAGGAAAUAACAGGAAUAUCACAAUAAGAAGAUACAGUUGGUAAAAUUCCUAUGGAGGAAUCAUGCAAUAGAAGAGGCUUCGUGGGAGCUUGAAAGCGAGAUUAGACAGAAAUAUCUCCACUUGUUUAGUAAGUCAUAGCAGUGAUGUAUAAUUAAAGUAAUAGUAAUUUUAAUUUGUUUAACAUAGUGGAAUUGUAAUGUAGUGUAUAGGAUAGGUAGUAUUUCGGUUUUGGGAGAAUUUUCUUUUAUAUUUGUAAUCUCCCGGAACUACCCAUGUAACCACGGUAUUCCUCUACCAUAAGUGAGGGCAGGUAGUAAAAUAAGUAGACCAUUUUAUUUUAA